rnacentral:misc_RNA from 1 species
GAUGAAGAACGUAGCGAAAUGCGAUAAGUAAUGCGAAUUGCAGAAUCCGUGAGUCAUCGAAUCUUUGAACGCACAUUGCGCCCUGUGGUAUUCCGCAGGGCAUGCCUGUUCGAGCGUCAUUUCAACCCUCAAGCUCUGCUUGGUGUUGGGCCCUGCCCGCUGCGGCCGGCCCUAAAGACAGUGGCGGUGCCGCCUGGCCCUGAGCGUAGUACAUCUCUCGCUCCAGUGCCCGGUGGUAGCCUGCCAGAACCCCAACUCUCGUGGUUGACCUCGGAUCAGGUAGGGAUACCCGCUGAACUUAAGCAUAUCAAUAAGCGGAGG